rnacentral:rRNA from 1 species
AGUGAACGCUGGCGGUAGACCUAACACAUGCAAGUCGAACGGCAGCACAGUAAGAGCUUGCUCUUACGGGUGGCGAGUGGCGGACGGGUGAGGAAUACAUCGGAAUCUACUUUUUCGUGGGGGAUAACGUAGGGAAACUUACGCUAAUACCGCAUACGACCUACGGGUGAAAGCAGGGGAUCUUCGGACCUUGCGCGAUUGAAUGAGCCGAUGUCGGAUUAGCUAGUUGGCGGGGUAAAGGCCCACCAAGGCGACGAUCCGUAGCUGGUCUGAGAGGAUGAUCAGCCACACUGGAACUGAGACACGGUCCAGACUCCUACGGGAGGCAGCAGUGGGGAAUAUUGGACAAUGGGCGCAAGCCUGAUCCAGCCAUACCGCGUGGGUGAAGAAGGCCUUCGGGUUGUAAAGCCCUUUUGUUGGGAAAGAAAAGCAGCAGGUUAAGACCCCGCUGUUCGGACGGGACCCAAAGAAGAAGCACCGGCUAACUUCGU